rnacentral:rRNA from 2 species
ACUCCCAAACCCCUGUGAACAUACCAAUU